GACGAACCGUGCAAACGUUAUUCGGAAUCACUGGGCUUAAAGGGUGCGUAGGCGGGUUCUCAAGUCUGUGGUGAAAUCCCCCGGCUUAACCGGGGAACUGCCGUGGAUACUGGGAAUCUCGAGGGGUGUAGGGGCAUGCGGAACUUCGGGUGGAGCGGUGAAAUGCGUAGAUAUCCGAAGGAACGCCGGUGGCGAAAGCGGCGUGCUGGACACCUUCUGACGCUGAGGCACGAAAGCCAGGGGAGCAAACGGG
rnacentral:rRNA from 1 species